UGGGCUGGGACGACACCAAGGACAACGUCGUCUCAAGGAGAGAAGAGCCACGUUCUGCAGCCGUUCAAUGGACGACUUUUACCCCCACGAAGGAGUGCUUAGUCUCGCUGAUUAAGUGGUUCUCAACAGUUCAACAGUUCUUAGAGAAAAUUGUGAAAUGUUUAGGACCACUUGACCAGCCAGACACAUGCUGCCGCUGUUGGAAUGGAAUCUCUAAAAAACGGCAAAAACAUCCCAGGAGGCCUGACGUGUGAGGAUUUCUGAACAACACUGUGUGAUUUGCCUCUCUGCUUCCAUCAUGUCUCCUUGUCCGCCUCCUUCUGUCAUUGUGCCCCCUUGUGUUACGAUCACAACUGCAUGGCGGGCCCUGUGGAGGCUGUAAAAAUCAUCAGGCUCCAGUAAUUUCAUUCUGCUGGCGCGCACACAAAUUUUUUAACAGCCCUGCUGAUGCAGUAACAUGGUCUUUUCAUCACUGUUUUAUUGUUGCCACUGUUCAGAGGUACUGAUUAAAACAAGUCAAUAAAGAA